rnacentral:rRNA from 1 species
AACGAACGCUGGCGGCAUGCCUAACACAUGCAAGUCGAACGAAGCCUUCGGGCUUAGUGGCGCACGGGUGCGUAACGCGUGGGAAUCUGCCCUUGGGUUCGGAAUAACAGUUAGAAAUGACUGCUAAUACCGAAUGAUGUCUUCGGACCAAAGAUUUAUCGCCCAAGGAUGAGCCCGCGUCGGAUUAGCUAGUUGGUGAGGUAAAGGCUCACCAAGGCGACGAUCCGUAGCUGGUCUGAGAGGAUGAUCAGCCACACUGGGACUGAGACACGGCCCAGACUCCUACGGGAGGCAGCAGUGGGGAAUAUUGGACAAUGGGCGAAAGGACCUGAUCCAGCAAUGCCGCGUGAGUGAUGAAGGCCUUAGGGUUGUAAAGACUCUUUUACCCGGGUACUGAUAAUGACAG